UGAAAGGAAGCAGAAAGGCAGAUGGAGAACACUUUGUGGUUCUGACUCUUCUUUUUCCAGACACACUUCUGUGUGGGACCUGAAGAGUAGGAAAGAGAAGGGAAUACAUUUUUGACCCCUGCUCAGUAGCCCAGCCAGGCCCUGGCUCUAAUCCCUUCUGUCUGGAAUUCAGAAGAUUGACUGCACGCCUUCCUCCACAUCCACCUUUCCACUUCUUAUUGACUUGGCAGUCGUGUUGGAGAGAACCUGAAGAAUUCACACAGCAUUAUUCAUCUCAAGGAACAAGAAAGUUGAACACUACUUCUCCUUCCCCAAAACAAGGAAAUGCCUUACAGUUGUGUGCAAGAUCUUUGCAAUCAAAUCCCUCCCUUGCUUAAUACCCACUUUAGCUAUUGAUAAUAUUGGGGGCAAUAACUCUCUGAACCUCAUGCUCUGCCAUUUCUCAGAAGUCAUAUCUCUAUUUUUUUCAGUUGCCUCAAAACCAUUAAUUAGUGAAGAAGUAUAUAUUGGAUGCAGUAAUUUUCUAAUAAAAACCAUGGGUUUCAGAAGGAGUGGUUGCAGGCUGAUCAAAAUGUAAUAUUAUGCUUCCUAUAAUCAUGGUGGGUCAUUUGGUUAGUAUCAAAAUUUAGACUUUAAUUUCUGCCAUGGCUGAAAGGAAAUUUCAGACAAAUGUGGCAG
ensembl:lncRNA